rnacentral:rRNA from 1 species
AUUGAACGCUGCGGCAGGCUUAACACAUGCAAGUCGAGCGAGCGGCGGACGGGUGAGUAAUUCUUAUGAAUCUGCCUAUUCGUGGGGGACAACAUCUCGCAAGGGAUGCUAAUACCGCAUACUAAUCGCUGAGCCUAGUCGGAUUAGCUAGUUGGUGGGGUAAAGGCCUACCAAGGCGACGAUCUGUAGCGGGUCUGAGAGGAUGAGCCGCCACACUGGGACUGAGACACGGCCCAGACUCCUACGGGAGGCAGCAGGGGGGAAUAUGCACAAUGGGCGCAAGCCUGAUGCAGCCAUGCCGCGUGUGUGAAGAAGGCCUUCGGGUUGUAAAGCACUUUCAGCGGGGAGGCGUUACCCGCAGAAGAAGCACCGGCUAACUCCGUGCCAGCAGCCGCGGUAAUUC